rnacentral:rRNA from 1 species
UAGGGAAUCUUCCGCAAUGGACGAAAGUCUGACGGAGCAACGCCGCGUGAGCGAAGAAGGUCUUCGGAUUGUAAAGCUCUGUUGUUAGGGAAGAACAAGUACCGUUCGAAUAGGGCGGUACCGUGACGGUACCUAACGAGAAAGCCACGGCUAACUACGUGCCAGCAGCCGCGGUAAUACGUAGGUGGCAAGCGUUGUCCGGAAUUAUUGGGCGUAAAGCGCGCGCAGGCGGUCCUUUAAGUCUGAUGUGAAAGCCCACGGCUCAACCGUGGAGGGUCAUUGGAAACUGGGGGACUUGAGUGCAGAAGAGGAGAGCGGAAUUCCACGUGUAGCGGUGAAAUGCGUAGAGAUGUGGAGGAACACCAGUGGCGAAGGCGGCUCUCUGGUCUGUAACUGACGCUGAGGCGCGAAAGCGUGGGGAGCAAACA